UACGGAGGGGGCUAGCGUUGUUCGGAAUUACUGGGCGUAAAGCGCGCGUAGGCGGACCUGCAAGUCGGGGGUGAAAGCCCGAGGCUCAACCUCGGAACUGCCUUCGAUACUGCGGGUCUCGAGUCCGGGAGAGGUGAGUGGAAUUCCUAGUGUAGAGGUGAAAUUCGUAGAUAUCGAGAGGAACACCUGCGGCGAAGGCGGGUUGCUGGGCUGACACUGACGCUGAUGCGCGAAAGCUAGGGGAGCGAACGGG
rnacentral:rRNA from 1 species